rnacentral:rRNA from 1 species
AACGAACGCUGGCGGCGUGCUUAACACAUGCAAGUCGAGCGAGAAAGCUCCUUCGGGAGUGAGUACAGCGGCGAACGGGUGAGUAACACGUGGGCAACCUGCCCUAGGGAGCGGGACAACUCGGGGAAACCCGAGCUAAUACCGCAUGAAUCGGCCUUGCAUAAGUAAGGCCGGGAAAAGGUAGCUUAGGCCUCCGCCCUAGGAUGGGCCCGCGGCCGAUUAGCUAGUUGGUGUGGUAACGGCGCACCAAGGCGACGAUCGGUAGCUGGUCUGAGAGGACGAUCAGCCACACUGGGACUGAGACACGGCCCAGACUCCUACGGGAGGCAGCAGUGGGGAAUCUUGCGCAAUGGGCGAAAGCCUGACGCAGCAACGCCGCGUGGGGGAAGAAGGCCUUCGGAUUGUAAACCUCUUUCAGGAGGGACGAAGCUUCCAGGGUUAAUAGCCCAUGGGGUGACGGUACCUUCAGAAGAAGCCCCGGCUAA